UUCCAGUAAUGACUGAGGAGGGACUCUGUACGACAUUUAAUUCAGAAUACGCGAAGUAUCAGACAGUAGAUGAUGACAAUUGGAAGGACCAGGAUCUAAUGAAGUGUCACUACCACAGCGAGUCGUGUUACGUCCAGAUUGAUUCCAGUGAUAAUGGCGUUAGAUAUUUCAUUCAUUCACCAUUCGACAUUGCAACAGCCAUCUCUAAUCCUACAGGAGAAGUUUAUCCCGGUGAUGAAUUAAUCACGGACUUUAAGGUAGUGGAAAUCGAAGCUGCGAAUAGAAUCAAAGGAUUAAGACCUGA